UCGUCCCUACGGGAGGCAGCAGUGAGGCCUAUUGGUCCCUGUCCGAGAGGCUGAACCAGCCAAGUCGCGUGAGGGAAGACGGCCCUACGGGUUGUAAACCUCUUUUGUCGGGGAGCAAAGCGAGUCACGUGUGACUCAUUGAGAGUACCCGAAGAAAAAGCAUCGGCUAACUCCGUGCCAGCAGCCGCGGUAAUACGGAGGAUGCGAGCGUUAUCCGGAUUUAUUGGGUUUAAAGGGUGCGCAGGCGGAGGGGCAAGUCAGCGGUCAAGUUGCGGGGCUCAACCCCGUACUGCCGUUGAAACUUC
rnacentral:rRNA from 1 species